UCCGGGAUAAUCCGAUCGCACUGUUAUCAGGGAUUGUUAUCAUUCUUACACCGGCGAACUCGAGUGGCAGGAUGACAAGAUCAAAAUGAGUGAUUCGCUCAAUAUCGUGACAAUGGAGACCUCAUGCCUCGAAUCGGAGAAUUGUCUGAAGGUAUCCUCGACGAUGCAAAACGUGGCGCGACAGGACUCGGGGGUACCGGAGGAUCUCGCGUCGCCCAUCAACGACGAGGCGCAGACACUCAACGGAGAGGAAGAUCCGGAUCUCACUAUGAAUAGCGAAUGUAAUAUCACGGUGAUUCAUAUCACCGAGUCGCAGAACGGGAAAAUAAACGAGAAAUCGCUGGCCGAAAAUAAGGACAGCAAGGACGGCAGCGACAGCGGAGUCGAGGGUUGCGCAACAGAAGCUCCAAGAGUACGCAGGAAUAGUAUGGACUACGCGAGUAGUUGUGGUGGCUUGGACGAGGCUUCUUGCGAUUCUAGUCUUGUUAGUUGUUGCUCGGUAUAUGAGGAUCCAUGUGGAUCUACGUUGCCGGAUGACGUUCGACUGGGCACAACCGGUGGAGAAGGAACAAGCGAGGGUGGCAGCGAGAGCUCGUCCAUCGCUGGCAGCGUGUCCGUACGAACGAGUCGUAUGAAUGUGAAGAGGACCACGACCGCUUCUAGCGUAUCAAAGAAGAAAACCUCGAGCGCUACCGAGGCUUCGCAGAAGAGCGCUCGCACGAAACCAAUGAGUACAACCUCCUCGGGCACGAGUCUGGGUGCGGUGACACCGCGAUCCAAGUCGCGAACGGCGACUCCUAGAAAUAUUCUGGCCAAAACGCAAGGCACGAGCAGAGAGCGAGAACGAGACCGUCCACGAUCGAGAGAGAAACUGACCGUCCGUGAAUCGCUUGUUGCGGAGGUCACCAAGACACCUGUUGGUGCUCGCGGUACGGCGCAGUACGGUUGCCGAUCCAGCAGCAACGCCACGUCCAAUUUAGCAUCAACUCCGACUUCAUCCUCCGUUUCCAGGACAAGGACGAGAGCGUUGCCUGACUCACUACCAUCCGCGCUUACCACGGAGAUCAACAAGGAUCUCGCGCAACGUAGCGGACGGACCGUUAGAAGCGAUUCCUCGAGGUCGAGGACAGCCUCUAGUACGCGAGGAAUUCGCACGCCAGUAUCCACGCCGUCCGAGGAAACGAGAAAGAAAGUACCAUCUUUGCCGAAUCCUCGACUUCUCUGCGGCAAAAAUACCGCUUUGCAUAGCUCCGAUAAUAAAGCUGUCGGUCAGGAUAACAAAGCGUUGGACACGUACGCAACGUUGCCACGUAGGAAUAGAAAUAAACUGACGAUCUCGAAAGCCGGAGAAAGGACGGACAAGACGACUAGAAGUAGACCCGGUAGUCGCGACGCUAGUCUCAGCAGAUCCAUUGAUAAGAAAACCAGCGGCGGAAAGGACUCGACCUCCGUUAAUUAUAAAAGCUUACCGCCGUAUCCUAGACAAAGAAUUGUCGAAAAGACUCGUAUCUAUCAUGAGACUAGCGCGCAAACCGGCUUGACCGGGCAAGAUAUCGAGAAUGCGAUGUCCGGUCAACCAAGCGCCAUUGUCGGAUCUGAGGUGAUCGAGAGAUUGCACAAGAGUUGCCAAACGGAAGACGUGUGGAGCGAUGUGCAAACUUUGCAGGAUAACUUGAAACGAUUGAACGAGGAGAACAAUAGUCAACGGCAAGAGAAUGAGAAACUGAAGCUUGAAUUAGCCGAAGUAAAGCGUCUUUUAGAAGAGGAACGAGCCGAUCACGCGUUUGCACGUCAAGAACUCGACAGAAAUGCGCAGCGAGUAUUGGCGAUGCUAGGCACUCCGCAAUCAGAACACGCAGGAGGUAGUGAUAGCUUCCUCGAGCUCGAAUGUCACAUACAGUCCUCGGGACAAGUUGUCGCUAAUCAACAAGUCGAAAUAGCUGAUUUGCAAUCGCUUUGUCGUAUAUUAAGCAAGGAUUUAGAGAAAAGUCUAGCCGCACAAAAGGCCUUGUUACAACAGCAGCAAGAAUUGGAGGCUGAAUCAGUCGAAAUGCAAGAUUUUCUUCAAGAAGAAAAAGCUACUCUGGUGGAUGCGCUUAAAGACGCCGAAUUGGAGAACAAGAAAAAGGAAGAAACUAUAAUUCAACGACAAGCGGAAUUAGAAAGACAAAUAGAGGAGUGUAAACACCUAGUACGAAUUAGCGAACAACGAAGGCAGGAGAAUUUAUCAAUGAGUAUGAAGUUGAACGCCGUCGAACGAAGAAGUAGGGAACUUUUAUUAACUCAAGGCGCUGCCAUGUCCGGAGCGGCUGUUGCUCUCUCCGGACUCAGCACUAGAUUAGAAGGAUUAAUAGAUCAAUUAAUUGCUUCUUAUAAUAUUUCGGUAAAGGAUCUUGAGGACGUCAUAUAUCAUAACGAAGCGUACAGCAGAAGCAAUAGUAGCGUGGAAUCUAGUCCCGUUAACUCUAAGCAGAGUUUAAAGGAACGCACACCGAGUCCAAAGAGUGGAUCUUUUGUUUCCGCGGUAAUUAGUGCGAUUCGGAACGCCGCGACACAUCCAUUCGCGACGAGAACCAACAUCGACUCAAAGUCCAAUCUAGAUUUGUCCAAACAAAUUUACAAAGACUUAAGCAUGGAAUCAUCAUCUGACUUGCUCGAUUUUGAAACCGAGCCAUGUCUGAUGAUGGAAAGCGUUCUGGAAGACGUACCUUUGCCCGACACGUACUCUCACAACAUGGUAUCGAGUAGCGAUUCUCUUCGCAGAGCUUUGAGUUUUCCCGAAACGACAGACGAACAUAACAUAAGGAAGACGAAGAUAGGCGACGACUGUACUAGUCUCAUGAAUCUUACUCAAGCGAUUUUACAUCGUCGUAAGGUGGAAGAUGAGGGUGAUGACGAUUGCGAUUCCGUAAGCGAAUCUGACACCGGAACUAAUGACGGUCCUGUGUUGAUGGAUUAUUGUCAUGUGGAUUUGGUCGAUCAAGUGAUCGAGGUGGAUAAUCUCGUUACCAAACUUUUGAAGGUGCUACGCAUCAUACAGCUUGAUAACGAUACAUGUAUACAGGAAUUGAAAGAAGACAAGUCUAAUUUGGAGAUGAAAUUAGAAGCUACUGUGACAGAGUUGAACGAGCUUCGCAAAAUUGUUGAUAAUCUGCAUCAGUCGCCAGAAGAGGUUCUGAACAACGUGUCGGAUCGGCGACGUAGCGUCGUGGAAAAUUGUCGGAUUCUGCUCAAAGAGUUGGGAACCUGGACCAGCUCCAGAAAUUCCAAAUCUUUAUGCGAUCGCCGAAUUCGCUAAGUUAUUUCCGGCUCGACGAACGUCAACUCGGGACCGGACGACCACUUUUUGCAACUUUUAUAAUGCGAUCGGACAGGACCGGUAUCUCUGGAGUGCAACGAGAAGAUGUGUUGGAGAACGACGUGUCCGGACAACACGGAGGAUGCUCGAAGUGUGACGACCGGGCGAUGUCUCGUAUACCAGAAGACGAUUCCGAUCCCCACCUGGGCGAUUCGAACCUGAGUGAGCCUUCCUUCGGUCGGUUCUGGAAACGGAUCCCUGGAAAAGUUCAAGAACCUCCGCGGAGCUGACAGCGGCCUGCCGCUAACGGCACGUAUCGUCACGGCACUGUUGAUAUGCUAUAAAUCACUUGUAAUUUACACGAAGAUUUGAGGAAAGAACCCGAUUAGACUCGUACUUUAUCAUGCUUCUUUGUAAUUCAAUGUCACUCAAGAAUCAUUCAUCUUGCGACAAAUUGUGCAUACAUUUGAUUUGGAGAAGAUAUGCAGGAUCUGAAAUAAUUUAUAAUAUUCUCCUGUCUCUACUGGAGUUAAAAAUUCAAAACCAUCCUUGAAAAGAGAAGAAACAAAUUCGAUAAUAUCAAUACAACAUAGUAUUCGAAUAUUGAAACGCGGAAGUGCUGAGGCUGAUCCUCAUCAACGAUGUAUCAAUCGCGUUCAAGUGUCCCUUACGGCAGUAACCGGUUUCAUUCAAGAGAAAAAGGAGCAAGAGGAAAGGAGGCAAGAUGAUGCCAAAGAUAAAAGCGUAAUAGUUAUAGCACGACGAUACAACGUGCAGAUAUAUAUAUAUAUAUAUAUAUAUAUAUAUAUAUAUAUAUGUAUGUAUGUAUGUAUGUAUGUAUAAGUAUACAGGAGUGUGCGCAUCUAUAUAGCAACCGAUCUUUGUAAAGGGCAAUGUCCUAUCGUGGCCGUUCGCCACGAGUUCGUUUCCCCAUCCCACGGCUCUUGGCACCUAUUACCGUAACCUUGCCCUUGCUCUCUCUUUCUCUUCCGUCUUGUGCUGGGAAUAAACAUCGUCGCAGAAUCGCCACCGCUUUUGGAAACGACCUUACCAGAUCAUACAUCUUGUACGGCUAUCUCUGCCCCUGAUUAGUGAGAUCGUGUUUCAAGGAGUUUCAGGGUAAGGAUUCAUUUAAUAUUAAUACUAUAGCUACAUUAUAAUUAGAAAAAAAAUAUAAAGAAGGGAAAAAUAGAAAUUAGCAACUUUUUGUUUUGCAUAAAUUACUGAUUUGAUAGAGAUUUAAAUGCAUGUUGUUAUUGUUGUUUAAAUAUUUUAUUCGAAGCCUGAUAGAAUACAUGCAGUGUAACUUUCACGCAUACACUGGUUUAUAUAAAACGACAAUUAUUUCGCAUUUUAGCGCGUUCUAAGCAUUAAAUUAAGCAAAAAAUUCGUUACUCUUUCCUUCUACAUAAUUCUUACACUAAUAAACAAAAGAAAAUUAACGAACUUCUUGAGAUCGAUAUAUAA